CGUGUUACAAUGGCAGGUACAGAGGGGUGCUACCGGGUGACCGGAUGCCGAUCUCGAAAACCUGUCCCAGUUCGGACUGGAGUCUGCAACCCGACUCCACGAAGUUGGAUUCGCUAGUAAUCGCGCAUCAGCCAUGGCGCGGUGAAUACGUUCCCGGGCCUUGUACACACCGCCCGUCAAGCCAUGGGAGCCGGGGGCGCCUGAAGUCCGGGACCGCGAGGACCGGCCUAGGGCGAAACUGGUGACUGGGGCUAAGUCGUAACAAGGUAAC
rnacentral:rRNA from 1 species